GGAAGCCCUAAAGUUUGCCAGUCCCAAACAUAGCAGCUGUGAUCAGAUGCUCAGGGCAUUAGGAGGGAGGCAGAGCUUUUGAGCUGCAGACUGGAACAAUAUUGACGCAGCACAAUGAGGGGUUUGCUUGGACUGGCUCUUAUUCUCCUUUUCUUGUGGCUUCAGAAGUCCCACAUGUCCAGCAGCAACUAUACUCCUUGUAAGGAUGUUUCUUUGAGUGAUUCCACCGUGUCCCUGCUCCUCUCCCCUCUGUCCCUGUACUCCUGGCUGAUGUCCACCACGCUCAGACUGGUCCUGUCCCUUCCAGCUCUCGUCCUAAACAUCCUGCAUCACUCCUGGUUUUUGCUGAUGGCCUUCCCAUGGUGCAUUGCUUCUAUUAGUCUCUCAUUCGUCUUCACCAUUUUGCAAGUGGCUCUGUAUCUUCUUCAUCUCUCUUUGGUGCUUGCGGUUGUUGCUAUUUUGACCCUCUCCAAAUCCCACUUGGCCAAACAGGAUAUGAAAAAGAAGAAUAUAUCGAGCCUGCACAAAGUUUCUACAAGUAGAGUUGGACAUCAAGGCUGAAAAUACCAAGCUGAAGUCAAUUUGUUUGGAGCUGCCUUACCUUCAUCUAUUAAAUUAACAUUUCACAGUACAUUUUUACUCCGGCCCUGUGUGUAAAUUGGCUUAGAGAAGCACUAGAGAAGCAACAGGAAGAAAAGCUCUGAUUAGUGAGCGUCCAUGUGACCUAAAUGAGGGUGAAAAUAUAUGUGCUUGCUGCCUCUUCAAGCCCUAGUCCACUUAUCUAUCUCCCAAUUAUCUACGGAUUGUUGUACUGUUUUCUCCCUAUCUACCAGUGUUUUCAUUAGAUAUGUCCGUCAAAUGAAGAUGAGCGAGGGAGAAGGGAAACAGCAGAGAGGAAGAAAAGGAGGUUUUCCGCUUUUGACUGGUAUUAAGUUUUCUGUGUACAUCGCAAUAGAUCGUCCUGAGAAAUACUAAUAAAGGGAGUUAACAGUGAGAGAAAGUGUAGAAAGUGAGUUUCGUGGGCACUGAGGCAAGAUUGCUCCAGCAGGCAUUAACCAGGACAGGCAAUGGACAGCACAAGAAACAAGAGUUAAAACUGUUCAUGAGUGCACACGGGCUUUUAGAAAUCCAAUUGGUGUUUACAGAAUAAUGGUGUCUUUCUUUGUAAGACCCUUUUCAGCCUUUUCAGUUUGCGCUAGCAGUUCAUAAUACAUUUUGAACAGCAAACAAUAUAUGAAAACAAUGAAGCUAUAUUUUCAGCUUUUGAGAAGGAUGGAGCCCAAAAGAUUAUUCUCAGUGCUACUUUUCUUUUAUAGAUGGAAGCAAAUUAUAAGAAGUCUUAGUAUUAGUAUGUUAAUAUUAGUGUAGUAUUUUAAUUUGUCUCAUUUCAAAGGAUUCUCUUGUACUCCUAUACACUCCUCAUGUAUGCUGCAAAUUCCAGUGUUGCAAAUAAUUUAAAGGUGCACUGUGUAAUUUCUCUGGUCUGUCCCUUGCUUGUCUCCAUGGAAACGUUAUUGCUUUGCCUGGAGUGUUACACAGUCAUCUAUCGAGCAUUUAUUUCAGGUCUUUUAAUUGAAAAAAUACCAUACAAACAUGCAUUCAUUAUGUUACUAGUGUCGCCUCGUCACAGAUCUGACCUGUAACUUGGGUUGGUGACGUCUCCAUGGAGAUACAUACGUUUAUUUCCAUACUGGGCGGCAGUAGCUCAGAUGGUAGAGCGUUUGUCCACUGAUCUGAAGGUUGGCGAUUCAACUCCUGCUCUCGACAUAAACAUCAUUGGAUGAGCGGUCAGAUCUCCAGUACCCACAUGAAUGCUGUCUUUGUGUCCUUGGGCAAGACACUUAACCCACCUCGCCCCAGUGUCUGCGUACACUGGUGUAUGAAUGGGUGGUUCCUUGUUGUAAAGUGCUUUGAGUGCCUUGAAGGUGGAAAAGCGCUGUAUAAAAAUGUGACCAUUUACUGUAGUACAACAUUCCAGCCCAAAGCAGUAACAUCUCCAUACUAACAGAUGGUGAACCGUCUACCCGUCAAGUUACACAGUGCACCUUAAAAAUCUUUUCCGUCCAUGGAUAAUAUUAUUACGUUGAAUGGAUUGAAUUUAAUUUUAAGUUACUCUUCUGAAAAUGAACAUAAAUAUAAAACUUAAAAUGGUAUUACUUUGACUUCAAAUAUUUCUUUAAAAUUGCACUUAUUUAAAAACAAAAAAACAAAAACAUGAUUGAUCGAACAACAAACAAAUGAAACUGGGUAUCAUGUGAAAAGAAUGAGUGAACUUUUAGCGCUUGAGUGUGUGCGUGUGGGUGUGCGCAUGUGUGUUAAAAGAGACAGACAAAAAGACAGAGGGGAAAUGAGGCUGGAUCAUAGAGAUUUAUUACAUGGCCGUGGCAUCCUAAUUAGCAUAAAGACUGGACCGGCCCACUCAAGCAGAGAAUUAAAAACCUUAAUUGUGCUGUCAGCCCUCCUCUCUCUGUCUCACUGUUGACUCUCCCCUUUCCUCUCUCUAUGAAGUAGCCUGUGUCUGCCGCGCGGUUUAAUUGUUAGUGAUAAAUGGGGAAGCGGGAUGUUUGUAAUUGUCUCUGAGAUGGGAAGAGGAUGGCAUUGAUAGAGCAGAGGAACAAGAACAGAACAAGAGAAAGCUUCCCUAAUUCUGAAAGUGAUAGGAGAGCAGCCCAAAGCUAUUUAUCAAAUAUUUGGGAAAGUUGUAAAUGAGUUUGGCAGUGAACACUGAGGACGUGGGGCGAUGUGAAACAAGGCCAAAUUCCAGCUAGAAAGAAAAUGUUUUUUAUCAAGUUUGACAAUACAUUUAAAGGGCAUUAGAACUAUUAAAAGGGUCACAAAUUUCUAUUGACACGGUUAACAAGAACACCAGCCAUUUAAGAUACAAUGACUAUAUACAGUAUGACUUUUGUUUAAGUUCAUG